UAAGUGGGAAACGAUGUGGGAAGGCACAGACAGCCAGGAUGUUGGCUUAGAAGCAGCCAUCAUUUAAAGAAAGCGUAAUAGCUCACUGGUCGAGUCGGCCUGCGCGGAAGAUGUAACGGGGCUAAACCAUGCACCGAAGCUGCGGCAGCGACACUAUGUGUUGUUGGGUAGGGGAGCGUUCUGUAAGCCUGCGAAGGUGUGCUGUGAGGCAUGCUGGAGGUAUCAGAAGUGCGAAUGCUGACAUAAGUAACGAUAAAGCGGGUGAAAAGCCCGCUCGCCGGAAGACCAAGGGUUCCUGUCCAACGUUAAUCGGGGCAGGGUGAGUCGACCCCUAAGGC
rnacentral:rRNA from 1 species